CGUAGGUGGAUAAUUAAACGUACAGUAAAAGACUGAAGAAAACCUUCUUAACUCUGUAUUCACUGAUUAUUUGAGUUCUAAAGGCAGUUUAUUGAAUUCCAGAAGGAAGGGUAAAAUUGUUGAUAUUGGAAGACAUACGAUAGCGAAAGCAAUAACUGAUUUGGAUCUGACACUAGGUACGAAAGUAUGGGGAUAAAUAGGAUUAGAGACCUAGUAGUCCAUACCUUAAACAAUGAGUGUUCAACGUCUUUUAGAAUUAUUUAUAAGUCUAAUGGGGGUUUAAAGCUAACGCGUGAAACACCGCCUGGGGAAUGUGGCCGCAAGGUUAAACUCAAAGGAAUUGACGGAGGCUUAUACAAGG
rnacentral:rRNA from 2 species